rnacentral:rRNA from 1 species
UACAGGGGGGGCAAGCGUUGUUCGGAAUUACUGGGCGUAAAGGGCUCGUAGGUGGCCAACUAAGUCGGACGUGAAAUCCCUCAGCUUAACUGGGGAACUGCGUCCGAUACUGGAUGGCUUGAGUUUGGGAGAGGGAUGCGGAAUUCCAGGUGUAGCGGUGAAAUGCGUAGAUAUCUGGAGGAACACCGGUGGCGAAGGCGGCUCACUGGCCCGGUACUGACGCUGAGGUGCGAAAGCGUGGGGAGCAAACAGG